AGAGUUUGAUCAUGGCUCAGAUUGAACGCUGGCGGCAGGCCUAACACAUGCAAGUCGAGCGGUAGCACAGAGAGCUUGCUCUCGGGUGACGAGCGGCGGACGGGUGAGUAAUGUCUGGGAAACUGCCUGAUGGAGGGGGAUAACUACUGGAAACGGUAGCUAAUACCGCAUAACGUCGCAAGACCAAAGAGGGGGACCUUCGGGCCUCUUGCCAUCAGAUGUGCCCAGAUGGGAUUAGCUAGUAGGUGGGGUAACGGCUCACCUAGGCGACGAUCCCUAGCUGGUCUGAGAGGAUGACCAGCCACACUGGAACUGAGACACGGUCCAGACUCCUACGGGAGGCAGCAGUGGGGAAUAUUGCACAAUGGGCGCAAGCCUGAUGCAGCCAUGCCGCGUGUAUGAAGAAGGCCUUCGGGUUGUAAAGUACUUUCAGCGGGGAGGAAGGUGUUGAGGUUAAUAACCUCAGCAAUUGACGUUACCCGCAGAAGAAGCACCGGCUAACUCCGUGCCAGCAGCCGCGGUAAUACGGAGGGUGCAAGCGUUAAUCGGAAUUACUGGGCGUAAAGCGCACGCAGGCGGUCUGUCAAGUCGGAUGUGAAAUCCCCGGGCUCAACCUGGGAACUGCAUUCGAAACUGGCAGGCUAGAGUCUUGUAGAGGGGGGUAGAAUUCCAGGUGUAGCGGUGAAAUGCGUAGAGAUCUGGAGGAAUACCGGUGGCGAAGGCGGCCCCCUGGACAAAGACUGACGCUCAGGUGCGAAAGCGUGGGGAGCAAACAGGAUUAGAUACCCUGGUAGUCCACGCCGUAAACGAUGUCGACUUGGAGGUUGUGCCCUUGAGGCGUGGCUUCCGGAGCUAACGCGUUAAGUCGACCGCCUGGGGAGUACGGCCGCAAGGUUAAAACUCAAAUGAAUUGACGGGGGCCCGCACAAGCGGUGGAGCAUGUGGUUUAAUUCGAUGCAACGCGAAGAACCUUACCUACUCUUGACAUCCAGAGAACUUAGCAGAGAUGCUUUGGUGCCUUCGGGAACUCUGAGACAGGUGCUGCAUGGCUGUCGUCAGCUCGUGUUGUGAAAUGUUGGGUUAAGUCCCGCAACGAGCGCAACCCUUAUCCUUUGUUGCCAGCGGUUAGGCCGGGAACUCAAAGGAGACUGCCAGUGAUAAACUGGAGGAAGGUGGGGAUGACGUCAAGUCAUCAUGGCCCUUACGAGUAGGGCUACACACGUGCUACAAUGGCGCAUACAAAGAGAAGCGACCUCGCGAGAGCAAGCGGACCUCAUAAAGUGCGUCGUAGUCCGGAUUGGAGUCUGCAACUCGACUCCAUGAAGUCGGAAUCGCUAGUAAUCGUAGAUCAGAAUGCUACGGUGAAUACGUUCCCGGGCCUUGUACACACCGCCCGUCACACCAUGGGAGUGGGUUGCAAAAGAAGUAGGUAGCUUAACCUUCGGGAGGGCGCUUACCACUUUGUGAUUCAUGACUGGGGUGAAGUCGUAACAAGGUAACCGUAGGGGAACCUGCGGUUGGAUCACCU
rnacentral:rRNA from 1 species